rnacentral:rRNA from 1 species
CCUACGGUGCACCAGGCGCGAAACCUUUACACUGCGGGAAACCGCGACAAGGGGACACCGAGUGCCAGCAUACAAUGCUGGCUGUCCAUAUGUGUAAAUAGCAUGUGAUAGCAAGGGCCGGGCAAGACCGGUGCCAGCCGCCGCGGUAACACCGGCGGCCCGAGUGGUAAUCACUAUUAUUGGGUCUAAAGGGUCCGUAGCCGGUUUAAUCAGUCUUCCGGGAAAUCUGACAGCUCAACUGUUAGGCUCCCGGGGGAUACUGUUAGGCUUGGGACCGGGAGAGGUAAGAGGUACUACAGGGGUAGGAGUGAAAUCUUGUAAUCCCUGUGGGACCACCAGUGGCGAAGGCGUCUUACCAGAACGGGUCCGACGGUGAGGGACGAAAGCUGGGGGCACGAACCGGAUUAGAUACCCCUGUAGUC